ACCAGAAACCAUCACUCGUUGUACAGCCGCCCCAGACCUGAUGGGUUUUUUUGUGAGGAGGAUAAUUUUGAAGAGAAGUAUUGGAAAGUUUAAAGGGAAGUGGAGAGAAAGUGAAGAAAUAGAGGAGAAUUGCGAGGAGAUUUUUAUGGAGGAGGACUAGACCCAGGAGUGAAGAAAAAAUAGGAGAGGAAGAACGAGAAGUUUGAGAGGAUAAUUUGGUAGAGAGGAAAACCUAGAGGAUUUUUCCCGUAGUCGAUUUGCCGCCAUUUUCAUGUAAACAUUCGGAAUUUACACGCGAGACACCUCGAGUGAGACGGACAACUUUUGGUAGCUUCGACAAAUGAGCGAGAGAGAUGGCGGGAGAGGGGGAUUAUGUGGUGACGGGCCCAUCAUUGUCUUGCAGCCUCGCUUUGUCAGUACAUCUAACGAAAUCGGAGCAACAACUAAUGAAACUGGAAAGUUACGUGUUCCCCGAUUCUGAACUCAGAGCUGAAUUUGAGGAAGAUGACAGCCGAAUGGAGGACUGGUGACAG